rnacentral:rRNA from 1 species
GAUGAACGCUGGCGGCGUGCUUAACACAUGCAAGUCGAACGAUGAAGCUCAGCUUGCUGGGUGGAUUAGUGGCGAACGGGUGAGUAACACGUGAGUAACCUGCCCUUAACUCUGGGAUAAGCCUGGGAAACUAGGUCUAAUACCGGAUAGGAGCGCCUACCGCAUGGUGGGUGUUGGAAAGAUUUAUCGGUUUUGGAUGGACUCGCGGCCUAUCAGCUUGUUGGUGAGGUAAUGGCUCACCAAGGCGACGACGGGUAGCCGGCCUGAGAGGGUGACCGGCCACACUGGGACUGAGAGACGGCCCAGACUCCUACGGGAGGCAGCAGUGGGGAAUAUUGCACAAUGGGCGAAAGCCUGAUGCAGCGACGCCGCGUGAGGGAUGACGGCCUUCGGGUUGUAAACCUCUUUCAGUAGGGAAGAAGCGAAAGUGACGGUACCUGCAGAAGAAGCACCGGCUAACUACGUG